UACGUAGGGGGCGAGCGUUGUCCGGAAUCAUUGGGCGUAAAGAGCGUGUAGGCGGCCAGGUAGGUCUGCUGUGAAAACUCGAGGCUCAACCUCGAGACGUCGGCGGAAACCAUCUGGCUAGAGUCCGGAAGAGGAGAGUGGAAUUCCUGGGUGUAGCGGUGAAAUGCGCAGAUAUCAGGAAGAACACCCGUGGCGAAGGCGGCUCUCUGGGACGGUACUGACGCUGAGACGCGAAAGCGUGGGGAGCGAACAGG
rnacentral:rRNA from 1 species